UGGUAAAUAACUAGAAGUGGCUUAUGAUGCACGUGAGGACAAAGCCGAAAACAAAUGUCUACAUGAACAACAGCGGGUGGAACCAACAGGAUCUACGUUUGAUGAUUUGAUACCACCUACAGCCAGACAGAACCUGGCUGACACAUAUGUUACAUGUACUAUGCAGUCUAUACUAUCCAAGUAUGCACAAUUGUGUACAUAAGCCUAACCAUGUCUUACUCCACAUAUAGGGUAAUUACAGACGGAAGCAUGCGCUAUACUACAUCAUAUUUCAUACAUCAUACUACUACUACAUACAAGAGUAGCUCUCAGAGCAUUGGCAGCGUCUUGGGCAGUUCAAACUUGGCGCUCUACCAAUUACUCAUAGCUGUGCUCCCUAGUCAUUGGUCAAUGCUACAUUCAAAUGAACUUCCAUAUAUGGUGUAGUCACGUGUUCUAUUCCUAAAAUAGCCUAGUUAGCUAGUAACAUAAACAUCUGGUACAAAUACUCUAUACGCCUUUUAUCUUAUUUGUCUCAGUCUCUUCUUCCAGCGUCCGGCAAAGUAAAAAAAAAUAGACUGGACAUAUUUUUUGAACGUGUUCGCCUUUUUCUUAGGCAUUUUGGCAUCAACAAAACUGGUACCUGUGAACUUGCUAAUAAGGCUACCUAAGAAUGAUCAUGAAUGUCUUAUGCUACGGUCACAUUUCCAAACCGGAAGUUACCGGAAUAACAAAAAUAAAGCUACAUUUAUGAAGGAUAGACAUCCAAAUUAACAAUAUUCAAAUACAAUCCAAUAGAGAUUGAAUUGUAUUCGAAAAAGUAAAGCUGUUUAUGGUCGUUUAUCUGUUCACAGAUUAUGGCCACUACUUAUUUUCUUUGCAUUUUGUGUGUUUUAGGCCCUCUACAUACUUCUAAUUUGUUCACGAGAGCUGCCCAAUCGGACCCCGGUUUGGAACUGUUACCAUAAAACUACCCCCAGCUUAGAGGAGCGAAAGUUGCCUGGUCGGUUCCCGUUUGGAAAUGUGACCGUAACAUUACCCUUAUUUUUGAGGAGCUGUUGAAGAUCUUGUUUGAGAGAUCUAUUAAUUCUUUUGGCAAAUCUUUUAUCGAAUAUUGUGUUGACCCUUUCACCUCACCUAGUAUUGGGCCACAGAAAGUAGCUAUUGUGGAUGACAUCAGCGCGAAUAAUCCUUGCUCUCAGAAAAUUGUAAAGAGAAAAUAUCAAAAUGAGAAAAUAUGCCUUGUACUAGCCUUGAUUGUACUAGUAGAAGUGACACUACUGUGGUAGCAAUGAGUAUAGUUGUUGAAGUGAAAAUAGUUCGGAGGUUGUGGAGGUAAUAGAGCGAAGUUUCCAACUUGCUUCGAACAAGAAUAAAAGACAUGUUAGCUCAAAAUGAUACAUGACCAUGUUUUGCACUACCAUUGUUGUUACAACGUUUAUGAUGUCCAUGUUUUGAAAAUUUAGGCAUCUUGUUUUUAUAGUCACGUUGUUUUUUCACCUUAUUGUAUAAAAUUUGGAGUCUGCAGCGGAUGUCAUCCAUAUAAUUUAUAUGCUGUGGCCUUUUGGGUGUCGCCUGUACCAUGCGGUGACAUGCCGCCCCGGUAACUAAGACCACAUGUACAGGAGUAGGGAGACAGAGACGUGGCAGUUAGGAAGGAGCACAGCUACAGCUAGCAAGACGCGCCUUGGACGGUUCACAGAGGCCUGGAGAACAGACCAAAAUUGAACUUUCACAAGAAGGACGGAUAAAGAGCGAGUGAACUGUAGUCUGGAUGCCAGACUGUUUCCAUGGCCUGCACAGGCAAACUUCUCGGCACUAGGGCCAGCAUGCCCCAAAGGAAGGCCUCAUGAUUAAAAUUUCAUUGGGGGUAUCUUUGUCCUGGAGCUGGGCUGUGUAGGCCCUAGAAACAAACAUUCUGACGUCGAGGCUAAUGGAACUGAGGUCCGUAGCGGGCAGGCCUGGUAGCAGGCUGAUGACGAGCCGUUAACUGGCAACGAGCAGUGACCAGCGACCCGGGAAGAGGAAAGAACACAUUACCCUGGUAUCCAGAGAACAGCGCUCGCGGCUACGGUUCUUUCCCGGGCCGCUAGCAACAUAGCCCCGUAAACCGACUUUAGCCGGCCCGGGGAGAUACGCCACCGCUUAGCCGGCUAAGUUGUACUCUGAUCGUAAACUUCCUUAGCCGGCUAAGUUGUACUCUAAUAUCCAGGGUAAGAACAUAUAGAACUUUGAGGCCCGACCCCAGACUCCGAGGCCGCUGGUCCGGAAAUCUCGGACGAUGCAGAGGGGCAAAACGGCCACGCGGCACUGAGGUCCGAGCGGGAAAGAGAUUUGGUGACUGUUUGACUGAGGAAAGCCCCGGCCAGAAAUGUUCCAGUCAACAUGACGACGACCUUGACUGUUUCAAAAGAAACAUGGACUGGUUCCACUGACAUGGACUUGCAAAAUGGAGACAAAUGGCCGGAUGCUGAGGAUUCGAGUAACUAAUCGCCUUGAUGUAUGAAUUUCUCCUCAGACUAACUAUACAGGACAAGAGCGACAACGACGAGAUGUACCUGACACCCGUACCUGUGUCCAUCAGGACGAAACAGUUCCGUCACAAAGUCAGUCGAGUCCUUCUACUGCAAGUCACUGAGACGAGCUGUAUCGCUGAAGGGACCGGAAUAGACGUCUGUGCACCUUAUAAAGUCGGGAAGGAGCUACACAUCACCCAGAACCGCACCGUCCACAGAAGGAAGGCAACGAGAGGGCCUAAGGAAUGCCAGAACAGUAGCAGAUCUGGAGCAGCAAAUCGAUUGCACUGCCACAACCACAGAAAACCUAAAACUAGUUAGACAAUUCACGGGCUGGUUUUGGCUGAUUUAUACCAUGAAUAUGUAUCUAUAAUGUGUAUAUAUUAUAGUAGUGGAUUUUAUAUGUACAACAAAGAACCGUAAAUAAGUUUACCACAGCGACGACGGACCUAAUCAAACCGGAGGUGUAUGUACUAAUGAAGAAAACCAACAUAAGAAUAUGCAGAAGUGGCCAUCGCUGGGAGAAGCCAGAAUAUACAUUUGUGCGGCUUGAAAAUUCUGAACAGAGGGGAGCCACACAACACCCAGAACAGCGCCAUCUACAUGAGGGAAGUAGAGGCCAGUAGCAGAGCCAAGACGUACAGCCGAUAGAUUGCGAUCAUACUUGUACAUGUAUAGAUAACCUGACAUGACACCAGUUAUAGAAUUCACGGAUUGACUGAUUGAUCGACUGUUUAUAUCACGAAUAUGUAUUUUAGUGUAUACAUUUUAGUGGUUGAUUUUAUAUGUAUAUGAAUGGACAGUAGAUGAAAUAACCGUUGUUUUGUGGUGUGACAAGACCUGUCUGUUUGAUACGCCAAAAUGUGACCACGAGAUAUAAUGUAUUUGUAUGACAGAGAGUCAGAGAGUAUAGUUUAGAAGAGAAAGAGAGAUCCGCAGCUAAGAACGAGGUUAGCGAGGCCAGCAUUACUAGUAUAUAGUAACGUCAAACCAUCUUAACAGUCUCCCGUGCCCAGUGUACGGAAAACCUUG